rnacentral:misc_RNA from 1 species
GUGCUUAAAUCGAGCGUGUCUUCAUUGACCGCUCACCCUUCUCACCAUCCACAUACACCUGUGCACUGUUUAGGCCUGAGCCGGUUUUCCGGUCCAGGUUAUCAUUUCAUACAAACUCUAGUCUUAUGAAUGUAAACGUUUUAAUAACAUAAUA